rnacentral:rRNA from 1 species
UACGAAGGGGGCUAGCGUUGCUCGGAAUUACUGGGCGUAAAGGGCGCGUAGGCGGCACCGUUAGUCAGGGCGUGAAAGUCCUGGGCUCAACCUGGGAACUGCGCUUGAUACGGCAGAGCUAGAGGAUGGAAGAGGCUCGCGGAAUUCCCAGUGUAGAGGUGAAAUUCGUAGAUAUUCGCAAGAACACCAGUGGCGAAGGCGGCUCACUGGCCCGGUACUGACGCUGAGGUGCGAAAGCGUGGGGAGCAAACAGG